rnacentral:misc_RNA from 1 species
UCGCUAUCUCGCGCCUCCGCAACUACACACAAAAACUUCCCUGCCAUGCUGUCGUGCCCGUAUCAGGCACGCGCAUGAUCCGCAAGAAGCCUCGUUCUCCGUGCCACUACUUCCACCACAGCACACCCCCACGGACAUCGCAGCACCCUUUACAUGGAUGUACACAAUGCUAGAGUUUCUUUUGCGGGGCUACCUCAUGUACCUCUCCUUUGUGCAGCCGGUCAUCUACGGCGCGCAGCUCUGCCGCUCGCCAGACCCCGAUGCACUGCAGGUGACAAACGUGACGCUGACGCUCAUCUUUGCAUGGCUUCUGGAGGUAGCUGAUGUGCUGUUUCUCUCCCCCUUUAUCGCGAUACGCUGGCUUUACCUAUGCGCCCGCAUCGCUCUAGCCCUGUACUUUUCGCAUCAUCGCUUUCUCGGUGCGGUGCAGGUCUACGAAAGGCUCUUUUCGAGCCUCGUCGAUACAUACUUCCCCGUGAUCGACUCCGUCGUCGCACGUCACGUGCAGACCAUUUGUAACUCCGGGCUCACUCAGUAUGGCGCACAGGUGUGCAUCGGACUGCUGCGAGGCAUCGCCGCGGCCGCGGGGAUUGCCAAGACGUUGAUGGAGGUCUCCUCGACCACCACGGUACGGGUGGCCCCGCUGCCCCGCCGCAUGUCGCAGGAGCGCGGCGGGGGAGAGGUGGAGGACGCCCGCAUCUCUCCCCCGCCGCGACCACCGCCGGCCACCCGCUCCGUCCCACUAGAGCUGCCGUCGCUCUUCUACGACAAUAGUGACGAGAGGUGAUGGCCGGCGCAGCGGGUCGUCGACCAAACGCUUGAGGCGGAGCCUGCUGUGACAUGGAGUACAUAGAACCAAGGAUGGCAGCGCUGCGCGCUGCUUUCGCACCUCACCGGCCCUGAAACGGCAGUGAACCGUGCCCGCCGGCACUCGAACCCCCCUCUGACUCCAUCGCCAUGUAGUCCUUCUUUCUCACUCCAAGCUGACUCCUUUUUUUUUGCUCUUGCUUUCCUGCACCAUCACCCCUUACACGUGAGUGACUGCUUACCUGCCUUUGCCCUCUUCUCCCUUCAUUCCUGUCUCGCCCGCCCUUUCUUUCCUUUCAAUAACUUGCACCCUCGGUGACCAUAGAG